rnacentral:rRNA from 1 species
AAGGCCUACGGGACGCAGCAGUGAGGAAUAUUGGUCAAUGGGCGGCAGCCUGAACCAGCCCAGUCGCGUGAGGGAUGACGGCCCUAUGGGUUGUAAACCUCUUUUGCCGGGGAGCAAAGUGCCGCACGUGUGCGGUUUGGAGAGUACCCGGAGAAAAAGCAUCGGCUAACUCCGUGCCAGCAGCCGCGGUAAUACGGAGGAUGCGAGCGUUAUCCGGGUUUAUUGGGUUUAAAGGGUGCGUAGGCGGACGCUUAAGUUAGCGGUAAAAUUGCCGGGCUCCACCUCGUCGAGCCGUUGAAACUGGG